AAAAAAGACGCCUUACUAUACUAUGUCGAAAAAAAUGCGAUUUUUCAAACGUUGUCAAAACAUGCCAUAUGAUGAAAUAAUGUAAAGCAGGCUGUGAAAAACACUCCAGAAAGGUUUUCUUUGAAAAAAAAAUCAUCAUGAAUUUUGGCGCAUAAAAAACGCCUUACUAUACUAUGUCGAAAAAAAAUGCGAUUUUUCAAACAUGUUGUAAAAACGUGCCAUAUGAUGUAAUAAUGUAAAAGAGGCCGUGAAAAACACUAUGGUAAGGUUUUCUUUGAAAAAAGAAUCAUCAUGAAUUUUGGCGCAAAAAAACGCCAUAGUAUACUCUGUUGAAAAAAAAUGGGAUUUUUCAUACAAGUUGGAAAAACGUGCCAUAUGAUGAAAUAAUGGAAAGGAGGCCGUGAAAAACACUCCAGGAAGGUUUUCGUUGAAAAAAAAAAUCAUCUUGAAUUUUGGCGCAAAAAAAACGCCUUACUAUACUAUGUCGAAAAAAAAUUGCGAUUUAUCAACAUGUUGUCAAAACAUGCCAUAUGAUGAAAUAAUGUAAAGGAGGCCGUGAAAAACACUCCAGAAAGGUUUUCUUUGAAAAAAAAAUCAUCAUGAAUUUUGGCGCAAAAAAAACGCCUUACUAUACUAUGUCGAAAAAAAAUGCCAUUUUUCAAACAUGUUGUAAAAACGUGUCAUAUGAUGAAAUAAUGUAAAGGAGGCUGUGAAAAACACUCUGGAAAGGUUUUCUUUGAAAAAAAAUCAUCAUGAAUUUUGGCGCAAAAAAAAACGCCUUACUAUACUAUGUCGAAAAAAUUGCGAUUUUUCAACAUGUUGUCAAAACGUGUCACAUGAUGAAAUAAUGUAAAGGAGGCCAUGAAAAACACUCCAGAAAGGUUUUCUUUGAAAAAAGAAUCAUUAUGAAUUUUGGCGCAAAAAAAACAGCAUAUUAUACUAUGUCAAAAAAUGUCAUUUUUCAACAUCUUGUGAAAACAUACCAAAUGAUGAAAUAAUGUAAAGGAGGCCAUGAAAAACAUUAUGGUAAGGUUUUCUUUGAAAAAAAAAUCAUGAAUUUUGGCACAAAAAACGCCUUACUAUACUAUUUCGAAAAAAAAAUGCAAUUUUUCAAACAUGUUGUCAAAACAUGCCAUAUGAUGAAAUAAUGUAAAGGAGGCUGUGAAAAACACUCCAGAAAGGUUUUCGUUGAAAAAAAAAUCAUCUUGAAUUUUGGCGCAAGAAAACGCCUUACUUACUAUGUCGAAAAAAAAAUUUGAUUUUUCAGCAUGUUGUAAAAACGUGCCAUAUGAUGAAAUAAUGUAAAGGAGGCCGUGAAAAACACUCCAGAAAGGUUUUCUUUGAAAAAAAAUCAUCAUGAAUUUUGGCGCAAAAAAUUUCAUAGUGAAAAGUCGUCCAAAAUGUCGAAAGAAAGUCAUAGUUUAGUAUGUCAUCAAAAAUGUCACAAAAACGUCAUAGUUCAGUAUGUCGUCCAAAAUAUGACAAAAACGUCAUAGUUUAGUAUGUCGUCCAAAAUGUCACUAAAACGUCAUAGUUUAGUAUGUUGUCCAAAAUAUGAAAAAAAACGUCAUAGUUUAGUAUGUCGUCCAAAAUGUGCUGAACAGGUGCUCAGGAAGCUCAACUGAUUGAGAAGCCGACUCGUCAACAGGACUGUGUGAGAGAUGCAGGUUCGAUUCCAGCUUAAAGCCUUUUACUGCAGAUCUUCUGCUGUCCUAUCUUAGUCUCUACUUACCUAUUGAAUAAAACCGUAUGUCAUCCAAAAUAUCAUAAAAAUGUCAUAGUUUAGUAUGUCGUCCAAAAUAUCAUUAAAACAUCAUAGUAUGUCGUCCAAAAUGUCAUUAAAAUGUCAUAGUUUAGUAUGUCGUCCAACAAAUUGAAAAAGGGUGCCCAGGUAGCUCAACUGGUUGAGAGGGUGACUCAUAAAGAGGAAUGCGUCAGAGAUGCAGCUCAUGGCCCUUUACUGCAGGUCUUCACUGCUUUCCUGUCUCCCUCUCAACUUACCUAUUAAAUAAAACCAACAAAAGGGCCCAAAAAACUUUUUUAAAAGUGUCAUAGUUUAGUAUGUCAUCCAAAAUAUGACAAAAAUGUCAUAGUUUAAUAUGUCGUCCUCAAUGUCACUAAAACGUCAUAGUUAAGUUUGUCAUCCAAAAUGUAGAAAAAAACAUCAUAGUUUAGUAUGUUGUCUAAACUAUGUUUUUGUGAACUGAGCAGCCUUGGCGGAGUACUGCACUCUCUGAUUGCUUUUCUAGUUACUGUAUGUAAUUUUAAAAAACAGGGAAAUCUGUAUAUUAACAGUAAAUUAUUCAAAACAUUAGUUAAAAACUGUCAAAAAACAUGAAUAGUUUACAAAAUACAUUUGUUUGGCAGCAAAGGAGAUCUGUGAUGAAUUUUGCAUUUCUUGAAGCAGCACUUUUGACACUUUUUAAAUUCUACAGCAUAAAAAGCAGCACCCUGACAGUUUAUUUGCUGUUUUUUACUCCAUUUUUGUUGUUUUCAAACGACACAUUUGUGAAGUGCUGAUUUAUGGCCCAUUUGGUUUUCCAUACCGAGACAGAAUGCUCUGAUGAUUAUGAGAUGUCGGAUGUGAGUCCAGGUGUCCAGAGUGAAUUGUCUUGUUUUUUAAAUUAAGAGUGGCCCCAUGUGUCUAAGAAUAAUAAAGGAGAAUGAUUAAUGUAAAGUUCAGUGAAUCCUUACUUUAACUUGACUCAUUUUAAGAGGCUGAAGUCAUUAUUGGACAGGGAAGAAGCUGCAAUGGUGACAGUUUCUAAAGAUUCUUCAGAAAGAUUCUGUUUUUGGCAGUUUCUCAUCAUUUUAAUUCUCACAGCUCUGUAUCUGCAAUCACCUAAUUCUUUUCUAUCUGCGAGAGAAAGAUUAAAGAAAUAAAGGUCAAAUCUGUGCAGCUCUCUUGCUACUCCCAGAAUAGAACCAACAGCAUCUUCCACACCUUCAGUUAGAAUUAUUAAAAACUAGAAAGUGAAAACGAGGCAUCGCCAAUCAUUCAUCUCCUCAAAGCUCCUCCAGAGAUCCAUCAUGAAGCUGAACGCAGAAACUGACCCUCUUCUGUAAAACUGGUUGAGUUCGGAAAUAAAAAUAGCAAAUUAUUUAAAGACACAGCAUUUCCACAAACACAUUCUUACAAAAGACACAGACACAGGGCGGCAUUUCUCUCUUUUAUUAGAUUAUAAUCCGCAGAGCUUAAAAUAUUAAAUUGCUUUUAACUUAGUUAAUAAUUAAAAUACAUAAAAACGAGAGCCAGAACUGAAGAACCCUGCAAAAAAAAAUAAAAUAAAUAAAAAAGGAGAAUUAUAAAUCCAAUCCUCCUCCAAACAGAGGCUAUGUCUGACAGAACCCGCUUGUGAUUCUUUGUACAGUAAAGUCCAAGCAGACUGUGCAUUUUCUAUACACGUG
ensembl:lncRNA